ACUGAGUGUCUGACACAUGUACAGAGCCCACAAGCUGCCAUGAGCUAUUUCUACAUGUAACUAGGUGACUACGCCUUGCAGCUUCCCCUACGUUAUAAGCUUUUUAACUUCAUUAUGUGAUCAGGCAUGUUGCCAACUUUGAAGGCCAUUCCACACAUCUGAGUGAUCUGGCUUGCCGUCCAGGUGAUUUAAGUGCCAAUCUUGAUAAAGGUCCGCAUAAGGACCGAAACGUCGAUGAAAUACGGCAUCAACAGUGAACCCGA